AGUGAACGCUGGCGGCGUGCUUAACACAUGCAAGUCGAACGAGAACGGAUUAUAGCUUGCUAUAAUUGUCAGCUAAGUGGCGCACGGGUGAGUAAUGUAUAGAUAACCUGCCCUCUAGAAAGGAAUAACAGUUGGAAACGACUGCUAAUGCCCUAUAUGCCUUUAAUACAUAAGUAUGCAAGGGAAACGCUUUAGUGCUAGAGGAUGGGUCUGUAUGGUAUCAGUUAGUUGGUGAGGUAAUGGCUCACCAAGACUAUGACGCCUAACUGGUUUGAGAGGAUGAUCAGUCACACUGGAACUGAGACACGGUCCAGACUCCUACGGGAGGCAGCAGUGGGGAAUAUUGCACAAUGGACGAAAGUCUGAUGCAGCAACGCCGCGUGGAGGAUGACACAUUUCGGUGCGUAAACUCCUUUUGUAUAGGAAGAUAAUGACGGUACUAUAUGAAUAAGC
rnacentral:rRNA from 1 species